UACGUAGGGUGCGAGCGUUAAUCGGAAUUACUGGGCGUAAAGCGUGCGCAGGCGGUUUUGUAAGCCAGAUGUGAAAUCCCCGGGCUUAACCUGGGAAUGGCAUUUGGGGACUGCAAGGCUGGAGUGCGGCAGAGGAGACUGGAAUUCCUGGUGUAGCAGUGAAAUGCGUAGAUAUCAGGAGGAAUACCGAUGGCGAAGGCAGGUCUCUGGGCCGAUACUGACGCUGAGGAGCGAAAGCGUGGGGGAGCGAACAGG
rnacentral:rRNA from 1 species